rnacentral:rRNA from 1 species
UACGUAGGUGGCAAGCGUUGUCCGGAUUUACUGGGCGUAAAGAGCGCGCAGGCGGUCGUUCAAGUCGCGUGUGAAAGCCCCCGGCUCAACUGGGGAGGGUCACGCGAUACUGAUCGACUCGAAGGCAGGAGAGGGUAGUGGAAUUCCCGGGUGUAGUGGUGAAAUGCGUAGAUAUCGGAAGGAACAUCAGUGGCGAAAGCGACUUCCUGGACCAGUACCGACGUCAGGCACGAAAGCGUGGGGAGCAAACAGG